GACUAAGCGUACACGGUGGAUGCCCUGGCAGUCAGAGGCGAUGAAGGACGUGCUAAUCUGCGAAAAGCGUCGGUAAGGUGAUAUGAACCGUUAUAACCGGCGAUGUCCGAAUGGGGAAACCCAGUGCAAUUCGUUGCACUAUCGUUAACUGAAUACAUAGGUUAACGAGGCGAACCGGGGGAACUGAAACAUCUAAGUACCCCGAGGAAAAGAAAAACCCGGU
rnacentral:rRNA from 1 species